rnacentral:rRNA from 1 species
AGGGCACCACCAGGAGUGGAGCCUGCGGCUUAAUUUGACUCAACACGGGAAACCUCACCCGGCCCGGACACUGGAAGGAUUGACAGAUUGAGAGCUCUUUCUUGAUUCAGUGGGUGGUGGUGCAUGGCCGUUCUUAGUUGGUGGAGUGAUUUGUCUGGUUAAUUCCGAUAACGAACGAGACUCUAGCCUAUUAAAUAGAUCGUUGGCUUACAAACGCCGGCGAGACUUCUUAGAGGGACAGGCGGCGAUUCAGCCGCACGAAACAGAGCAAUUUUUUUUUCUGUGAUGCCCUUAGAUGUCCGGGGCCGCACGCGCGCUACACUGAAGUGAUCAGCGUGCAUUUUGAAACCUACUCUGUCAAGAGUGGGGAACCCAAUGAACCUUCUUCGUGAUUGGGAUAGGGGAUUGUAAUUAUUCCCCUUGAACGAGGAAUUCCCAGUAAGCGCGAAUCAUAAGUUUGCGCUGAUUACGUCCCUGCCCUUUGUACACACCGCCCGUCGCUACUACCGAUUGAAUGUU